rnacentral:rRNA from 1 species
UACGUAGGGCGCAAGCGUUGUCCGGAAUUAUUGGGCGUAAAGCGCGCGCAGGCGGUUUCUUAAGUCUGAUGUGAAAGCCCCCGGCUUAACCGGGGAGGGUCAUUGGAAACUGGGAGGCUUGAGUGCAGAAGAGGAGAGUGGAAUUCCACGUGUAGCGGUGAAAUGCGUAGAGAUGUGGAGGAACACCAGUGGCGAAGGCGGCUCUCUGGUCUGUAACUGACGCUGAGGCGCGAAAGCGUGGGGAGCAAACAGG